GAUGAACGCUGGCGGCGUGCUUAACACAUGCAAGUCGAACGAUGAAGCCCAGCUUGCUGGGUGGAUUAGUGGCGAACGGGUGAGUAACACGUGAGCAACCUGCCCCUGACUCUGGGAUAAGCGCUGGAAACGGCGCCUAAUACUGGAUAUGUCCCGUCACCGCAUGGUGUGCGGGUGGAAAGAUUUUUCGGUUGGGGAUGGGCUCGCGGCCUAUCAGCUUGUUGGUGAGGUAAUGGCUCACCAAGGCGUCGACGGGUAGCCGGCCUGAGAGGGUGACUGGCCACACUGGGGCUGAGACACGGCCCAGACUCCUACGGGAGGCAGCAGUGGGGAAUAUUGCACAAUGGGCGGAAGCCUGAUGCAGCAACGCCGCGUGAGGGAUGACGGCCUUCGGGUUGUAAACCUCUUUUAGCAGGGAAGAAGCGAAAGUGACGGUACCUGCAGAAAAAGCACCGGCUAACUACGUG
rnacentral:rRNA from 1 species